CAUAGAUGAAGACUGUGUUUCGGAAGGAUUGAUGUUUCCUGUGGAAAUAAGAUGCAGAGAGAGGGACCACAUAACACGUUAGCUCUUACUGCCUCCAUGAGUUGGGGUAGAAAAAAGAGUCAGUGAAGUUCUAAAGUGCUCCAGUUUGCCUGUGCGAGCCACUCUGAGAAGGUCAGUGAGCCUAACAUCAGGCUUGAAGAUUGGAUUGAAGACCCAGGAAGGGCAUGCCUCCUGCACAAGCUUUGAAGUCAAUUGGACUUGGCUAUGAGUGAAGUUUCCCCAGCUAUGUAGCCUCUCCU